rnacentral:rRNA from 1 species
GCUUGUCUCAAAGAUUAAGCCAUGCAUGUCUAAGUACAGACCGAUAUACAAGGUGAAACCGCGAAUGGCUCAUUAAAUCAGUUAUGGUUCAUUGGAUCUUACACGAGUUACUUGGAUAACCGUGGUAAUUCUAGAGCUAAUACAUGCAACUAAGCUCCGACCGCAAGGGAAGAGCGCAGUUAUUAGAUCAAAACCAAUCAGGUUCCUAGUCACCUGAUGAAGUUGUGAUGACUCUGAAUAACAUUGAGCUGAGCGCAUGGUCUCUGGACCGGCGCCGCAUCUUUCAAGUGUCUGCCUUAUCAGCUUGAUUGUAGGUUAUGUGCCUACAAUGGCUAUAACGGGUAACGGGGAAUCAGGGUUCGAUUCCGGAGAGGGAGCCUGAGAAACGGCUACCACAUCUAAGGAAGGCAGCAGGCACGCAAAUUACCCACUCCCAGUCCGGGGAGGUAGUGACGAAAUAUAACGAUGCGUGUCUCUAAUUGAGGCUUCGCAAUCGGAAUGAGUACACUCUAAAUCCUUGUACGAGGAUCAAUUGGAGGGCAAGUCUGGUGCCAGCAGCCGCGGUAAUUCCAGCUCCAAUAGCAUAUAUUAAAGUUGUUGUGGUUAAAAAGCUCGUAGUUGGAUGUCUAAUAUUGACUGAUGGUGCGCCUCUGGCGAUUACUGUCGGUUGAAAUAACUAGUCAGCUUGCAUGCGAUGCUCUUUAUUGAGUGUCGUGCGUGGCUGGCAUGAUUACUUUGAAAAAAUUAGAGUGCUCAAAGCAGGUUAAUGCCUGAAUAUGAUGCAUGGAAUAAUGGAAUAUGACCUCGGUUCUAUUUCGUUGGUUUACUGAACCUGAGUUAAUGAUUAAAAGAGACGGACGGGGGCAUUCGUAUUGCGACGCUAGAGGUGAAAUU